rnacentral:rRNA from 1 species
UGCAGUCGACGGUAACAGGUCUUCGGAUGCUGACGAGUGGCGAACGGGUGAGUAAUACAUCGGAACGUGCCCGAUCGUGGGGGAUAACGCAGCGAAAGCUGUGCUAAUACCGCAUACGAUCUACGGAUGAAAGCAGGGGACCGCAAGGCCUUGCGCGGACGGAGCGGCCGAUGGCAGAUUAGGUAGUUGGUGGGAUAAAAGCUUACCAAGCCGACGAUCUGUAGCUGGUCUGAGAGGACGACCAGCCACACUGGGACUGAGACACGGCCCAGACUCCUACGGGAGGCAGCAGUGGGGAAUUUUGGACAAUGGGGGAAACCCUGAUCCAGCCAUGCCGCGUGCAGGAUGAAGGCCUUCGGGUUGUAAACUGCUUUUGUACGGAACGAAAAGAUCUCUUCUAAUAAAGGGGGUUCAUGACGGUACCGUAAGAAUAAGCACCGGCUAACUACGUGCCAGCAGCCGCGGUAAUACGUAGGGUGCGAGCGUUAAUCGGAAUUACUGGGCGUAAAGCGUGCGCAGGCGGUUAUAUAAGACAGAUGUGAAAUCCCCGGGCUCAACCUGGGAACU